GUCGAGCGAUGAAAGUUGUUCAGAUCCUUCGGGUGACGAACUUCUGGAUUACCGUAGAACGGGUGAGUAACGCGUGAGGAACCUGCCUCUCACAACGGGAUAGCCUCGGGAAACCGGGAUUAAUACCGUAUGACACUAUCAGAUGGCAUCAUCAGGUAGUUAAAGUGCUAGCGGUGAGAGAUGGCCUCGCGUCUGAUUAGUUAGUUGGUGGGGUAACGGCCUACCAAGACGACGAUCAGUAACCGGCCUGAGAGGGUGAACGGUCACAUUGGAACUGAGACACGGUCCAAACUCCUACGGGAGGCAGCAGUGGGGAAUCUUGCACAAUGGGGGGAACCCUGAUGCAGCGACGCCGCGUGAGCGAUGAAGGUUUUCGAAUCGUAAAGCUCUGUCCUAUGGGAAGAUAAUGACGGUACCAUAGGAGGAAGCCCCGGCUAACUACGUGCCAGCAGCCGCGGUAAUACGUAGGGGGCGAGCGUUGUCCGGAAUUACUGGGCGUAAAGGGUUCGCAGGCGGCAUGACAAGUCCGAUGUAAAAGGCGAAAGCUCAACUUUCGUAAGCAUCGGAAACUGUCAAGCUUGAGUGAAGGAGAGGCAAGUGGAAUUCCUAGUGUAGCGGUGGAAUGCGUAGAUAUUAGGAGGAAUACCGGUGGCGAAGGCGACUUGCUGGACUUCAACUGACGCUGAGGAACGAAAGCGUGGGUAGCAAACAG
rnacentral:rRNA from 1 species